rnacentral:rRNA from 1 species
UACGUAGGGGGCAAGCGUUGUCCGGAAUCAUUGGGCGUAAAGAGCGCGUAGGCGGCCCUGUAAGUCCGCUGUGAAAGUCAAGGGCUCAACCCUUGGAUGCCGGUGGAUACUGCAGGGCUAGAGUCCGGAAGAGGCGAGUGGAAUUCCUGGUGUAGCGGUGAAAUGCGCAGAUAUCAGGAGGAACACCGGUGGCGAAGGCGGGUCUCUGGGCAACAACUGACGCUGAGGAGCGAAAGCGUGGGGAGCGAACAGG